rnacentral:rRNA from 1 species
GAUGAACGCUGGCGGCGUGCUUAACACAUGCAAGUCGAACGGAAAGGCUCCUGCUUGCAGGGGUACUCGAGUGGCGAACGGGUGAGUAACACGUGGGUGAUCUGCCCUGCACUUCGGGAUAAGCCUGAGAAACUGGGUCUAAUACCGGAUAGGACGAUGGUUUGGAUGCCAUUGUGGAAAGUUUUUCGGUGUGGGAUGAGCUCGCGGCCUAUCAGCUUGUUGGUGGGGUAAUGGCCUACCAAGGCGUCGACGGGUAGCCGGCCUGAGAGGGUGUACGGCCACAUUGGGACUGAGAUACGGCCCAGACUCCUACGGGAGGCAGCAGUGGGGAAUAUUGCACAAUGGGCGCAAGCCUGAUGCAGCGACGCCGCGUGGGGGAUGACGGCCUUCGGGUUGUAAACUCCUUUCGCUAGGGACGAAGCGCAAGUGACGGUACCUGGAGAAGAAGCACCGGCUAACUACGUG